UACGGAGGGGGCUAGCGUUGUUCGGAAUUACUGGGCGUAAAGCGCACGUAGGCGGCUUUGUAAGUUAGAGGUGAAAGCCCGGGGCUCAACUUCGGAAUUGCCUUUAAGACUGCAUCGCUAGAAUUGUGGAGAGGUAAGUGGAAUUCCGAGUGUAGAGGUGAAAUUCGUAGAUAUUAGGAAGAACACCAGUGGCGAAGGCGGCUCACUGGCCCGGUACUGACGCUGAGGCGCGAAAGCGUGGGGAGCAAACAGG
rnacentral:rRNA from 1 species